rnacentral:misc_RNA from 1 species
UAAAGUGAAAGUAGAAAGGGAGAGGCCGUGUGGAGAAAAAUCCGGGGAAAAAUGACUAUGACGACGAUGACAAGACAAAUUCAACAGCAACAAAUGGUUUUGUUGAAUUCUUGUGGACAUGUAGACGGAGAACUGGAGUAUAUUAAUUAAUAUCAACAACAACAACACUUGUAACUAUUGUAGUAGUAGUUGAUAUAAUUACUACUGCUACCACUACUACUACUAAUGUCGGAAUGAAUGGUAGAUAACGACAGAAAUUGCUUCGUACACAUUUGAAGACAUAGAAGAGAGGAAUAGACUCUAUAUACAUGUAUAUGUAUAUAUGUAUGUAUAAUGCGUUUCCUGUGAUUGCGCCCGACCUGUAGUUGAUGUGUUUGUUCUCUGCCUGUGGCAUAUGUAACAGGGCCAUUAGUGUGUAUGUGUGUGAAUGAAUGAAUGCGAGGGUGUGUUCUUGGACAUAAUAAUAAUGUGGUUUAGAUCAUACCAACGCUUUGAUACCAACUGAAGAAGCGGAGAAACAAAGAGAGAAACGACGAGAGGGAGAGAGAGACUACGAGAGAGAGAGAGAGAAAGAGAAAGGAAUAUUAUAUCAGAAACGACCAUGAGAGCAACAAAUGGUUUUUAUUAAUUGCGUCAGUGCUUAUCAAACAACUGUUUUACAGAAAACCUGAGGAAUAUAUUUAUUUAUUUAUGUAUUUAUGUGUCUAUCUGUGUGUCUAACUAUUUAACUAACUGUCGGUCUGUUUUUAUUCGCCUUCUCUGUGCUUGCGUGUCGUGUCGUGGACAUUAGGCACCGUUACAGUUUUUACACCUAUCUACCUACCUGGCUGGCUGGUUGGCUACGAGAUAUGUCGGACAAACAUUGAUACCAAACGAAAUCUGGGUAUGAAGGUGGCCACUUCUAACGCACCCGGCGCCACAACCACCACCAACACAAUCUCAACCACAUCCAUCAUCACUAUCACCAACACCUCCAUCCUUAAUAUAAUAAUAAUAACCAUCAUCAUCAUCAUCAUCACCACCGCCGCCACUACAUCUACCCGGAGAUAUGAGCCGAGGGAGAUACAGGCAAGACAGGGGGGUACCUUCGAGCGCAAGUGGAAGUGCAUCCGGGGGCUUCCAGGCUCAUAAGAUCGAAGAAGAGAUCGAAAAUUUCGUGGAGAAUUUCAAACGCAACAACCAGUCGCAGCCUUUGGACAAGGAUGCCGUCAGCCUGGAAUCUGGCGGCGAAUCGUCCGGCCUGCAGAGUUCAUUGUGUUCGACCGACGAAUACACAGACGAUAGCCCAGAGGAGUUCCCCUCACAUCGUUAUCUAUUGAGGGCCUUCGCGGCCAGAAACAGGAAGUAUAGUUCAACCAACACCAGCACGCGUACCAGUGUUAGCCCGGCAUCCUCCCGGAGCGUGGAUUGUGGUUCAGAAUCAUGGAUAGACCAGGACGCUUAUGGUAUGUUGAUCAGUGACAGAGUGGCACCUGUGCCUCUUCCUGUACCAAGCUAUGUAAUGGGUGAAAUGGAUCUAGAUUGUUCUUUUACUGUAUUGGACGUUGCAGAGGUUCUACAGUCGAAAUAUGCCUUCAUCACAGGUGGCAAGGCUCGCAACGGAGCACCGAUUCUCACAUUUCCCGAUGUCCCUGGGAUACCAGAAAUCACAGAUGAACAAUAUAAGAAGGUGAUGAUUUACCUCUGUACCAUUCCGGCGAAAUUGAGGUUGUAUGAAGUAGAAAAAGGGUUCGUAAUCAUUUUAGAUAAACGCAAUGAUGGCUGGGGUACAGUGAAAAGUAUAUUAUUAAAGCUGUCGGCAUUUUUCCCGACACAUAUCCAAGUGGUGUUCCUACUUCAGCCCCAUGGCUUCUUACAAAGAGCUCUCGCUGACUUCCGCUCCAAGUUUGUUAAAGAAGAGCUUGAGUUUAAGGUUGUUAUGUGCAAUAACCAAGAAGAGUUACAUGAACAUAUUGAUCCUAGCCAACUCACUAAAGACUUGGGUGGAGAAAUUGAAUACGACCACAAGGAAUGGAUCGAGCAAAGAGCAGCAAGUGAGAAAUUUUCAACAAAUGUCAGCGACAUCACGCACUCACUCGACCAACUCGCUGCCCGAUACGAAGAAACGGAAAUCCCGAAUGACGUUACUGGGACUGAGGCGUUGAUUCGGGAACAUAUCCAGGGACGAAAGGAGCUCCUUGAUGAUUUGAACAGUACCACUAACCACGGCGAAAUUUUGCUCAAUUGUGUGAAGGGAAAUAGCCAGGAAAUUCCGUUGGUGAAAUUGGUACAUGUGGUGGAACUGGAGAGGUUACUAACUAAACUAGAACAGAAUAAACUCCAGUUUGAAAUGUUCUGGGGACGACAUGAGAAUAAACUUCGUCAAUGUUUACAAUUACGGCAAUUUGAGGAGGAAUUUAAACUUAUCCAAUAUGCUUCGGAACGUAACCUAGAGUUUUUAGAAUCUUCUAUGUCAAACAUAGGAGAAUCCUCUCUGCGGCUGGACGGACUUUUUGGAGAUUUUGAAGAAUUUGAGAAAAAAGCAAAGAAAAACUUUGAGACAACAGAUCGGUUAUGCCGCACCGGGGAACAGCUUAUAAGGGACGACCACUAUGCAAUAGACAGCAUCCAACCAAAAUACAUUGAGCUUCAACGUAUCCGAGAUCAAUAUAAGCGAAUGUUAAAACAGAGGAGGGACAUAUUAUAUAAGGCUCGUGAUCUCCACGAUAGAAUUGAUCGUGCCAAUAAAUGGUGUAACCGAGGUCUCGACUUAUUAGCUGAUCAACAAAUUGAAAAAUUUCAUACUCAAGGGGGAGCAGAGAAAGCUGCCUACGAGAUCAGGGAGUUUUUACACUCAGCCCAGAAUCUCAACUUAAGUAAUCCAAAAGAGUUCCGGACACUCUUUGAGGGUAUAAUGAAUUCAGAUAUGAAAGUAAUUGUACAAGAUCUGCUUAAACGGAAAGAAGAAGUGAAAGGAAUGUGUGAGAAACGUCUUGGAAGCCUGCAGAAGGUAACUAGCAAUCCGAUGAAUCCUGCCCAAUCCACCCAACCAAAGAUGGUGAAGCGUUCUGUUUCUGCAGGAAAUCCUGUUCGGGGUGGCGCUAAAUCCUCCGGGUCAUCUCGUCAACUUCCGAAUACUUCUGCUAAUGUCAAAGGGCAACCACCGCCUUCAUCAUCAUCAUCUUCUGCUUCUUCUUCUUAUUCUUCUUAUUCUUCUCGUUCUUCCUCUUCUACUCUUGGCUCAGUCUGUGUAGCGAGCUUGUCUCGCGACGAAUACCGUUGCUCUGCCGGACAAGUGGAACGGGCAACAGCAAAGAGUGCUAGAACACCAGCUUCUUCUUCUUCAAGACUAGAGAUGUCAGUCAGGAACUCAAGUGGAUUACAAAAGCAGCAUCGCCGUAAUCAUACACAGGUUCAACGUUCUCGAAGUGUAAUGGAUGUCCAGGCAGAAAACCAAUAUUCGAGUCGUCGCUCCAGAAGUCCUCACAACCCACCUCACCAUUCGUCGUCCUUCGACUUAGCAGACAGUGACUACUCUGGGCAUGAAAAGUCAAGGCAUAGCAGCUCAGCACUGCGGCUGAAUGCCAGAAGACAUUCGGCUAUAGAGCCUUGUGAAUCCAGGCUGCUACAUGACAGUCUUCUCUCUCAUAAACCCAAAUGCUGUUUCAUGACAGACUACAUGCAUGUCUACAGGGAAUUGGUUGAAACAGAGAAGACAUAUGUGUCUGAGUUAUAUGAUAUAUUGUGGGGUUAUUACUAUGAAAUGGACAACAAAGCCCUGCAGCACCUCCUCCCUCCAGUAUUAAGAAAUAAUAGAGACACACUGUUUGGUAACCUUAGAGAAAUAUAUGCCUUCCAUCAUAAUGUAUUUCUUGAUGAUCUACAAAGUUGUAGGGACACACCAGCCAAAGUCGGUCUUUGCUUUGUAAAUAGGAGUGAGGAAUUUCAAAUGUAUAGCAUCUACUGCCAAAACAAACCAAGAUCAGAGAAUCUAAUUGAUGAAAUUGGAGAUCACCAUCCAUAUUUCAAAGAAUGUCAAAGACGUCUUGGCCAUAAAUUACCACUAGGUGCCUACUUGUUGAAGCCAGUCCAACGUAUUACAAAAUAUCAUCUGCUUCUGAAGGAAAUGUUGAAAUAUGCAGAGAACGAUCCGUCAUGCAAUGGGUUACUUCAAGAUGCUCUGGACACAAUUUUAGGAGUUUUAAAAUAUGUUAAUGAUAUCAUGCAUCAAGUUUCAAUUGUUAAUUUUGAUGGAAAUAUUGGAGAUCUUGGUAAACUACUGAUGCAGGGUAGUUUUCAAGUGUGGACAGAACACAAGAACAAAAUCCGAGAUUUCAGGUUCAAACCAAUGGCACGACAUAUAUUUCUUUAUGAAAAGGCAGUGCUUCUGUGUAAAAGGAAGGAUGAUAACCAAAGUUCUUCAAACGCUGUAUAUAUUUUCAAGAACAUGCUAAAGAUGUCUCUUGUGGGAUUAACAGAAAGUGUAAAAGGGGACAAGAAAAAAUUUGAACUCUGGUUACGAGGCAGGGAAGAGGUUUAUAUCAUUCAGGCUCCAAGUAUAGAGGUGAAAGACAUUUGGGUUAAAGAAAUAAAAACUGUUCUCCUUAAUCAGUUUGAUCAACUAAGAGUUCACCGAUUGAGUCAUUGUCGCUAUGGAAGUAGAUCCCAAGAAGAUUUGACCAGAAUGGGGAGAUUCUCAGAAUCUAUGGAGGGAAGAGCCCGUUUCAAUUUCAGUAGCGGCGACAGCUGGCAUACGCGGUCAAUGAGCCAUUCUACUGGUAGUGCCCCUACAGUCCCUGUUGGUUUAGAAAUGAAUUCCCCGCUAGAAUCUCCUCCUGGAGAUGGGAUCAUAGAUGAAGGCUGGUCCAGCGGAGAAUUCUCCAACAGCGAUGAAGAUAUUGAUGCAAUCCAACACCACCGCAACUUUGACCGAAUAGAGCCCUCCUUUUUACAACGGUUCUCUGUCCUUGCUGAUUAUAUACCUGUAGAUAGUUCGGAAUUAACUUUACAAGAAAAUGAUGUAGUUGAGAUACUGCGCAUCGGAGCAAAAGGCUGGUGGCUAGCAAGACAUUUGGGUAGUUCUGACGAAGGAUGGGUCCCGUCGACAUACCUGGAGCCUGUUAUUAAACGCCAAUCUCAGUCUACUAGUGCAUCUUCAUCAAGCAUAGUGCGCAAGUACAGAUUGUGCCGAUCUUGAGAUAACAAUCUUGGACAAAAAUCACCAAGCUUCAAGCGGUCAUAUACGUUGAAAACCAUCACCAGUAGCCUCCCUCGAUAGCGUCGGUGGAGGCAAAACAAGUCAUUAUGCUGUCCCUGGUCGCCAUCAUCAUAUGUCGAAGA